GAUGAACGCUAGCGACAGGCUUAACACAUGCAAGUCGAGGGGCAGCAUGAUUUGUAGCAAUACAGAUUGAUGGCGACCGGCGCACGGGUGAGUAACGCGUAUGCAACUUACCUAUCAGAGGGGGAUAGCCCGGCGAAAGUCGGAUUAAUACCCCAUAAAACAGGGGUCCCGCAUGGGAAUAUUUGUUAAAGAUUCAUCGCUGAUAGAUAGGCAUGCGUUCCAUUAGGCAGUUGGCGGGGUAACGGCCCACCAAACCGACGAUGGAUAGGGGUUCUGAGAGGAAGGUCCCCCACAUUGGUACUGAGACACGGACCAAACUCCUACGGGAGGCAGCAGUGAGGAAUAUUGGUCAAUGGCCGAGAGGCUGAACCAGCCAAGUCGCGUGAAGGAAGAAGGAUCUAUGGUUUGUAAACUUCUUUUAAUAGGGGAAUAAAGUGGAGGACGUGUCCUUUUUGUAUGUACCUAUGAAUAAGCAUCGGCUAACUCCGUGCCAGCAGCCG
rnacentral:rRNA from 1 species